rnacentral:rRNA from 1 species
GAGUUUGAUCAUGGCUCAGGAUGAACGCUGGCGGCGUGCCUAACACAUGCAAGUCGAACGGAGUUAUUCGAGGAAGUUUUCGGAUGGAAUCAAAUAACUUAGUGGCGGACGGGUGAGUAACGCGUGGGAAACCUGCCCUGUACCGGGGGAUAACACUUAGAAAUAGGUGCUAAUACCGCAUAAGCGCACGGGACCGCAUGGUCCAGUGUGAAAACUCCGGUGGUACAGGAUGGUCCCGCGUCUGAUUAGCCAGUUGGCGGGUAACGCCCACCAAAGCGACGAUCAGUAGCCGGCCUGAGAGGGUGGACGGCCACAUUGGGACUGAGACACGGCCCAAACUCCUACGGGAGGCAGCAGUGGGGAAUAUUGCACAAUGGGGGAAACCCUGAUGCAGCGACGCGCGUGAGUGAAGAAGGUUUCGGAUUGUAAAGCUCUGUUAGCAGAGAAGAGG